CCUGAGAAACCCAAAAGAUCGAAUGGGGAGAUUCAUCGUCAGCGAUGCUGGUACGUGUGCGGUUCGCGAUGCCGCCGAGACCUCGGUCUCGUGGCACGCGUCCGCAUGUUUUUCUUAUUGCCUGGCAUCGUCGGCGUGCACUUCUCCCCUAGUAGGACGUCGCGACCCGUUGGGUGUCGGUCUACGGCCCGGGUGGUAGACUGUCUCGUGUGCGCUUAAUCGCGUCACUGCGGGACAGACCCCCGGCUGCCCGACCGGCUGCCCGGCGGUACUCGCAAGGUAUCUGGCCGCAAAUAUUUGAACUGCGUCCGGCCCGUCGCAAGCGAGGCAAGUGUUUCCCGAAUGUCACGGAUCUGAUGCCGUCAUCGGGCCUGGCCAGCUGUUGGUUGACGGUGACCUAGGACUGGCCAUAAUUAUUAUGAUACCGGUCGGCGACGCUACUGCUUUGGUACUUUC
rnacentral:rRNA from 1 species